UUCAAACAAAAUGCCCGAAACGGCGAAAAGACAAGCAAACAAACAAGUCCCAUCUCACCAUUAGUGAUGAUGAAUCACACUGAACAAAACCCUCCUCACUUUCACCUACACUACACUUCCAAUGUCAUCCUCCACCAACAAUGGAGUCGUUAAUCCUGCAACUCCACGACAUCGCCGCCGUGAAAUUCGGCAACUUCAAGCUCAAAUCCGGCAUAUCCUCUCCAAUCUAUAUCGACCUGCGCCUCAUCGUCUCCUUCCCUUCCCUACUCCGUCAAAUAUCCCAUACUCUCGUCGCCACCGUCCCUUCCUCUGCCCGCUACGACGUCGUCUGCGGCGUCCCCUACACCGCCCUCCCCAUUGCCACCUGCAUUUCUGUAUCUUCUAAUAUUCCAAUGCUCAUGCGCCGAAAGGAGGUCAAGGACUACGGCACCUCUAAGGCUAUUGAGGGGGCGUUUCAACAAAAUCAAGUAUGCCUUAUUGUUGAGGACCUCGUUACUAGCGGCACAUCCGUGCUCGAGACGGCGGCGCCUCUCCGUGCCGCCGGCCUCAAAGUCACGGACGCUGUCGUUAUGAUUGACAGGGAACAAGGAGGGAGAGAAAAUUUGGCAGAAAAUGGGAUCACACUGCACUCAAUGGUGAAGCUGAGUGAAAUGGUGAGGAUAUUGAAGGAGAAAGGAAGAGUUUCAGAGGAGACAGAGAGGAUGGUCAUUAAGUUCUUGGAGGACAAUCAAAAGGUGUCAGCACCAUUGGCAGCGCCGGGUGAGAAAAAGGUCAGAGUUAGACUUCCAUUUCGAGAGAGGGCAAAGAUGGCAAAGAAUCCAACAGGAUGGAAGUUGUUUGAGAUUAUGGAGCAGAAAAAAUCUAACUUGUGCUUGGCUGCUGAUGUUGCAACUGCGGCGGAUUUGCUUGACAUUGCAGACAAGGUUGGACCUGAGAUCUGCAUGUUAAAAACCCAUGUGGAUAUAUUCCCUGAUUUCACACCUGAUUUUGGAUCUAAACUUCGAUCGAUUGCAGAUAAACAUAAUUUCUUAAUAUUUGAAGAUCGUAAGUUCGCUGACAUAGGCAACACCGUCACCAUGCAGUAUGAAGGAGGUAUCUUCCAUAUAUUGGAGUGGGCGGAUAUAGUAAAUGCUCAUAUCAUUUCUGGCCCUGGAAUUGUAGAUGGCCUAAAGUUGAAGGGUUUGUCACGGGGCAGAGGUCUGUUGCUGCUUGCUGAAAUGAGUUCCUCUGGUACCCUUGCCAAGGGCGACUACACAGCUGCAGCUGUGAAAAUUGCUGAAGAUCAUCCAGAUUUUGUUAUUGGCUUCAUAUCUGUCAAUCCAGCUUCAUGGCCUGGUGGACCAGGAAAUCCGUCCCUCAUUCAUGCAACUCCUGGUGUCCAAAUGGUAAAAGGUGGAGAUGCUCUGGGCCAACAAUAUAACACUCCAUAUUCUGUCAUUUCAGAAAGAGGCAGUGAUGUCAUUAUUGUUGGCCGUGGAAUCAUAAAGGCAGCAAACCCUGCAGAGGCAGCUAGGGAAUAUCGGCUCCAAGGAUGGGAUGCAUACUUGGCCAGUUGCAAAUAAAAUGAGCUUCAAGUGUGCAAUGGCUUUUGAGAAGACAUUCUGGCAGCAUAACUGGACAUACAGAAAGCAUGUAGCAGCCAGGAGUUGCAAGGACAGCGAGCUCAUCCGGCUCAACUGCAUGAAGGCAUAUUUGAAAUGAUGAACUUGAGCUGCCUGCCAUUCAUGCUCGGCUUAUUCCGACUAAACUCCAUGAAAUUGAUAAAGGCUUGAUUCUAAGGUGUCUAUGCAAGACAAGGUUUAUUGGCUUUUAUCCAAAGGUUCGAGCUUGAUUUUGGGAGUGAUACCACAACAAAAGAUCAUCUUCCAUAAGUUUUCUGUAGGCUAGGCCGCAAAUAAAUAAUUUGAACUGAGAAGCUGGUCAGUGUGCGGCACAAUAAUUUCUGUGACCCCAUAACAGCUGCAAAAGAUGUGAGAGGUGAUAAAUUAUUGCCCAGGUUGUUGGCAUGCGACUGAUAUCAUAAACAAAAGCAGCCCGUGUUCCGUGAAGCCUGAAGCAAGAGAGAUUGGGGUAAAUAUGAAGUGGAAUUUUAAGCACAAGUAAAUUUGGGCUCUGGGUAGUUGAAGUUGAAUAAAUUUGUUUGAAUUUGAGAUCCAAAGAAAGCAAAAAAGGAAAAAUGUGGAUGUGAGCUUGUAAGGGUUCCACUUUUACUCAGACAAAAUUGGAUUGGCCAUACAGCUUAAAUCUCAUGUAGAUGUAGGUCCAUUUGCUAGUCUUUUCCUGCUUCAGCUUAGUCCAUAUAUAUAUCCUGAAUCUUCUAGCAUCUCUAUCCUAAAAACAUGGGUCUCAGUUCUGCUGCACCAAAUUAGCCUAUCAAAGCGGAAUUUGGAGCCCUAAUUUAAACAAAA